ACGGCCGUACCAUGCUGAAUAUACCGGUUCUCGUUAGAUCACCGAAGUUAAGCAUCAUUGGGCCCUUGGGUGGGUGACCACCUGGGAACACCGCAUGCCG